rnacentral:rRNA from 1 species
CAAUAGCGUAUAUUAAAGUUGUUGCGGUUAAAAAGUUCGUAGUUGGAUUUCUGCCAAGGACGACCGGUCCGCCCUCUGGGUGAGUAUCUGGCUUGGCCUGGGCAUCUUCUUGGAGAACGUUGCUGCACUUCACUGUGUGGUGCGGUAUCCAGGACCUUUACUUUGAGGAAAUUAGAGUGUUUCAAGCCUAGGCUUCCGCCUUGAAUACAUUAGCAUGGAAUAAUAAGAUAGGACCUCGGUUCUAUUUUGUUGGUUUCUAGAGCUGGGGUAAUGAUUAAUAGGGAUAGUUGGGGGCAUUCGUAUUUAACUGUCAGAGGUGAAAUUCUUGGAUUUGUUAAAGACGGACUACUGCGAAANCANNNGCCAAGGAUGUUUUCAUNGA